AUGCAUUUUCUGUGCAAAAAGGAAGCAGUAGAAAGAGCGUUAGGGAAGAAGAGAAACAGUCUCAGCUGUGGCUGUCCCAAUGGUGACAACAUGACCUGCACAGGGGCCCUGAAGCAGAUAAUAUUAGCUCCAGGCAGUUUUAAAGGCCUUCCUUCUAGUCUGCCAGGAGGCACAAUAGCCAAAGGUCUGGAAUCCACAGGUCUGACAGUAGUGGCCAGAGGCAGGAACAACCAGACUCUGGAGACAUGGGCUUGAUCUGGGACUGCUGGCAAUGACACCCAUAGCACUGAAGCAGAAGAAAAAUGAAGGAAGAUAAAAUAUCAAUAAAGAGAUAUUAUUAUUGAAUGCCUGCCUCACAUCAAUAAAAAGCUGAGCACUUUAGAUAUGUUAUUCCUAGUCCUCAUAAUUUAUCAAUAGAACCUGUAUAUUGCUCCUAUUUUAUAGAUGAGGCUCAGGAAGGUUAAGAAACUUAACUGAGGUCAUACAGUAGAAGUAGAUGGAGCUGGGAUGCAAACUCAGGAAGGGCUGGUCUUUUCUUUAUAAUACUGCCUCUGUUUUCAGGAUCGUGUGACUCUCCCACCCAACUUCAUCUUCCUCCCCUCAUCUAGGUGACUGUGAAACAUUUCUAAUAGGUUUGCAAAUGAGUUUAAGGGUUAUCUCUUUGUAGAGUGUUUUCACUUUAAUCAUAGUCUAGUAAAGAAAGAAAAGUUUUUAAGACCCAAAGAACUUAAUCUUUUAUGCUGCAAGAAGCGGCACAGGGGUGUAACACAACAAUUUCCUCUGACCCAUGAGGUCUGAGUUCUAGUCCCAACUCUGAGGUUAAUCUGCUGUGUUCCCAUCAGCAAUUCAUUUUCCCUGUAAGAGUCUCAGGUUCUUCAUCAAAGUAUGAAGACACAGGACUAUGUGGUCUUUAAGAGCUCUUCUAUUUCUGGCAUAUUAGGGCAUUUAAUCAAACAGGCUUUUGAAUUCCUGACAGGAAUAAGGGUUUCCCAGGUGGAUCAGUGGUAAAGAAUCUGCCUGCAGUGCAGGUGGAUGCAGGAGACAUGGGUUCAAUCCCUGAGUCAGGAAGAUCCCCUGGAGAGGGGCAUGGCAACCCACUCCANNNNNNNNGCCUGGAGAAUCCCGUGGACAGAGGAGCCUGGCAGGCUACAGUCCAUAGGACUGCAGAAAGUUGGACACAACUCAAGCAACUGAACACAAACAAGAAUAAAGUUGCUAAAUAUGACCUUGUUUCUAUAACAUUGGGAGUGACUUCCACAAAGAGAGAGCAGAAGGCAACAAAUGGGUAAUUACAAUGAGAUAAUUAACAAGCAUACAAUUAUCACUCACUCUGUGCCAUGUUUCUCUCAAAGCAGAAGGAGAAACAUCUCAAAGCAUCAUAAGAAAGGAUGGGUGAGUAAAAGAUCCAGUGAUCAAUAAGCAGUCCUUAUCUCACUCAGUCUUUAAAGAGCAUUUGGCACAGCUGAUCAUUCCUGUCUUUGUUGAAAACUGUUUUCACUUGGCUUCAUGUCAUCAUACUUUCCAGGUUUCCUCCCAGAUCACUGGUCACUUUCUCAGUUCUAUCUGCUGGCUCCUCCUUCUCUUUCAGACUUCUAAUGCUGAAAAAACCUAGAGUUCUUCUCUCAUCCUUCUCCUGUUCUCUAUCCACACUUGUUCCCUAGGUGAUUUCAUCCAUUCACUUUAAGUAUGAUCUCUAUGUUAAUGAUUCCCUAAUUAUAUUCUAAGCCCCAACUUUCCCUCUCUGCUUUAGAUACUUAAUCCUACAUUUUGCUUUGGAUAUCCCAAAUUUAUUGGGUAUAAAUUUGAACUAAUGAUCCCCACCUUCCACCUCUAUUUUUCUUCAGUAUUAUUAUUAAUAAUGGAACCACCACUAACCAAUAUGCUUACUAACCAAAGCCAAAACCAAGGUAUCGUCUUUGGCUAUUCUCUUUCCUUCACCCAUUGCACUUAUUUAUUUUUACACAUUUAAAAUUAAUUUUACUGGAGUAUAGUUGCUUUACAAUGCUGUGUUAGUUUCUACUCUACAGCAAAAAAAAAAAAAAAGAAUCAGCUAUAUAUANNNNNNNNNNNNNNNNNNNNNNNNNNNNNNNNNNNNNNNNNNNNNNNNNNNNNNNNNNNNNNNNNNNNNNNNNNNNNNNNNNNNNNNNNNNNNCAGCACUAGUUACAACAGUACAACAGCCAGAACAUUGAAGUGACCUAAAUGCCCAUCAGUGGAAGAAUCAAUAAAGAAUAUGUGAUACAUAAAUACAAUGGAAUAUUACUCUUUGAAUGGAACACACUUUCCACAGAUCUUUACAGGUUGUCCUCCUCAUUUUAAUUCAGUUCUCCAUGAAAAGUUCACCUCCUCAAAAAGCAAAAAACAAACAAACAAUGAGCAUGUCAUUUUCAAAAUGAAACAGGUAUCAAUUGGUGACUGACUCACAUUCCCAGAGAGUUCAACAUGAGAGAUAGUCCUCUCCUGAUCACCCUCUCCUCAAAAAGCAUGUCCUUUCUUAGGGGAAAGUUCUCACUACAAUGAAGAAANNNNNNNNNNNNNNNNNNNNNNNNNNNNNNGUUAAGGACUGAUGGUUGUAUCCUCUUAAAUUCCUGCGUUGAAAUCCUAACUCCCAAUGUAACUGUAUUAUGAUGUGGGGUCUUUGGGAGGUGAUGAGGUCAUUAGGGUACAGCUCUCAUGAAUGAUAUAAGGGCUGUUUUAAAAGAGACUUCAGAUUUCUCCCUCCCUCCUUUCACUGUCUGAGGACACAGUAAGAAGACUGCAGUCAAUUAACUAGGAAGUGAUCUCUCA
ensembl:lncRNA